CGCUGGAAUGCAUCGAGAUUUAAAGCUCCGGCGCCUAAGGAUGGGUCUGCGGCCUAUCAGGUAGUAGUGGGUGUAGCGUACCUACUAGCCUACGACGGGUACGGGUUGUGAGAGCAAGAGCCCGGAGAUGGAUUCUGAGACACGAAUCCAGGCCCUACGGGGUGCAGCAGGCGCGAAAACUUUACAAUGCUGGCAACAGCGAUAAGGGAACCUCGAGUGCCAGGUUACAAAUCUGGCUGUCGAGAUGCCUAAAAAGCAUUUCAUAGCAAGGGCCGGGCAAGACCGGUGCCAGCCGCCGCGGUAACACCGGCGGCUCGAGUGGUAACCGUUAUUAUUGGGUCUAAAGGGUCUGUAGCCGGCCGGAUAAGUCUCUUGAGAAAUCUGGCAGCUUAACUGUCAGGCUUUCAGGAGAUACUGUCUGGCUCGAGGCCGGGAGAGGUGAGAGGUACUUCAGGGGUAGGGGUGAAAUCUUGUAAUCCUUGAAGGACCACCAGUGGCGAAGGCGUCUCACCAGAACGGAC
rnacentral:rRNA from 1 species